rnacentral:rRNA from 1 species
AGCGAACGCUGGCGGCAGGCCUAACACAUGCAAGUCGAACGAAGUCUUCGGACUUAGUGGCGGACGGGUGAGUAACACGUGGGAACGUGCCUUUAGGUUCGGAAUAACUCAGGGAAACUUGUGCUAAUACCGAAUGUGCCCUUCGGGGGAAAGAUUUAUCACCUUUAGAGCGGCCCGCGUCUGAUUAGCUAGUUGGUGGGGUCAUGGCCCACCAAGGCUACGAUCAGUAGCUGGUCUGAGAGGAUGACCAGCCACAUUGGGACUGAGACACGGCCCAAACUCCUACGGGAGGCAGCAGUGGGGAAUCUUGCGCAAUGGGCGAAAGCCUGACGCAGCCAUGCCGCGUGGAUGAUGAAGGUCUUAGGAUUGUAAAAUCCUUUCACCGGUGAAGAUAAUGACUGUAGCCGGAGAAGAAGCCCCGGCUAACUUCGUGCCAGCCGCCGCAGUAAAAC